UAAUAAUUAACAAUGUAAUACACACUCACACACACAUUCCCCAACUAUCAUUCUGUUCCUGAUCUACUGUUAGUUCACAAGGCGGAAAGGGACAAAAGAAAGCUGGAAGGAAGGAAGGAAGGAAGGAAGGACAGAAAUAUUUUAAAAUACAAACACAAUAUAAGUUGUUAUCGGUGCUCGGAUAAGUUUGACCGAAAAGCCGUCCAUGUGGAUACGUGAAGGAGGCGUCAGCCAUCAGUUUCUAAAUGGACUACAUAGCACAAGUCGUCCCUUCCUCCAUGUCCAUCGCUCCGGGAGACGUGUCUACAACAACCCCUGGCCUCGGGAGACCAUGGCCUUUCCAGACCCCGGCUCACCCGUGCUGGGUGUCCAAAUGCACUUGAUUUCACAUUCAGGGUGUAAUUAGGAAGUAGGCAGGUUAUUGUGGCCCAAGUGGCUGCGAUUCAGCUCUGGAAAUGGAUCAUUGUCCACCAACCAGUGGCCAUUCAGGCGCCAUCUUGUUAUUUCUCCUUCGUCAACAGAGCGGUGUUGUGGGACAGAGGAAGUCAUCAUCACACAGCGAGCAUGGAUGUCCUCCAUAAUGUGGAACCUCAACCCCCAUGUUCACGUUUUGAGGCUCACAUGAGGGCGUGUCCCGGCCUGAUCAGACCGCCGUACUUCCCACGCACACACCGUCUACCAAGACCUCCGAUGAAGAUCCUCCGUGUGCCAAAACUGCCAAGACAGCAAGAAACUCGGAGAAAGCAGAACUCCCUACAGCACUUCUCUGUGAUGCUUCCCAGUGUACCAGCAUCUCCACAUCCAAGCGUGGCCUCUAGAGACCCCCUGCGCUCUCCAACACCGUCUGUCCACUCGGGGACAAACCCAGACAAGUUCCAGUCUUUCCAUGUUCCCUCUCCAAGCUCAGAACACACUACAAUAAAGCAGGAAGAUGUAGUAAGUCAUAGAGAGGUUAGUUUGACUGGGCCCUCCUCCCCACAAAUCGACUAUGAGGACGAUGAAGAGCCUAAAUGUGAAGCAGUGACACCAAUGACAAUGACUCCUGGCACCCCAUCAACCCCUGUGACCCCUCUAACACCAAUGACCCCUAUGACGCCGGAUUCUCUUUCAGACCUGAGUCGUCCAGCGUCCAGUCAGUUUAGCUAUAGCACCAACCUGAACAGCAGUCUAUCCAAUGCACCUUCAGUAAAUCAGACUGAUGACUCUGACGGUGAAGAUGGAGAUGCUGAGGAUGGUGAUGAUAUCAACAAUGAUGACCUUGAGGCCUGUUCCUCAUCCUUGUCUGAUCUUUGCUUCAGCUCUCUUGAUGGAGCAGUCUUGGCCUCUUGCUCCCCCCCAACAUCUAGUCAGUCAUCUUUCUCCAAAAACCUGAGUUCCCUUAGCCAAGAACCUCGGAAUACCAGCCAUCGAGAAACCUUAAAGGAAACUCCAAUUAUUCAGGUUGAAGACCCUCUAGUGAGGGAAACCCCACACCCUAACCAACUUACACAUACAAGUGUUAAUGGAGCUCCAAGCCCUUGCUCUGCAUAUCCGGACUCUCAAUCCAGACUGGCAUCUGCUUCUCAGCUGGAUGUUCGUUCUGACUGGACAACCUGCCGCUGGCCUAUACUUCCUCCAAUCACGCCUCAGAGAGGUAGCCAAGGGUCAAGAGCAUCUCUCAGUUCCCCAAUAAGCUGUUCUCAGUCGGACAUGUUUGCUGAGCUGGAGGCUACAGCACCUCGGAGUGUGUCCUGUCAAUCCUUGGAUCAUGUUGACUGUAGUGACAUGGAAAUCACCUCACCUACCACAGGUAGAUUUGUCCCAACCAUAGGUACACCUACCAUGAGCUGACUCCUUCAACUUGUCUACUACAGGUAGAUUUAUCCUCUCAUUUACCACAGGUAGACUUAUCUAAACCAUAGACACACCCUCACCUCACUUACAGGUAAACUUACCCAAACACGUUUCAUUUUACUAUUACAGGUCGACUUAUUACGGGUAGACUUAUCCAA
ensembl:lncRNA